GAGACAUUUUGGGUGCACCGGCGAAACUCGUCCCCGGGGCCGGGGUCGUCCUGGCAACGAGAAGGGCUGUGUGUGCCAGUGUAAACAACCCGAUCGGGCACCAGGUACACGGUCUCGGUUCCGCAGGAGCCCCUCCGCCACCCCAAGUCCGAGGGGACAAAGACCCAGGUCCUUUCUCAGCUGCGGACUUGAAAUGACCGCACGCGAGGGCGGCGGGCCAUAGGAAGGAUUUCGCGGAAAGGUGCCGGGCAGCUGCGAGCUGGGGGCCGAGCGAUGCCGGGCCCUGCACGCCUGGGGAGUGGGGGACAGGGGAGAGAGAGCGAGCCCAGCGCCGGCCUGGAAGGGGGUCUCGCCUCGCGGUGCCUCCGCAGGCGCCGGACCCUCCCGCUGGAAGGCCGCGCGGCCCGGUCUGGUCCGCCCGCGGGGCAGGCGCCGGACGCAACUUGGAGAGCACCAGAUGCACACCCGGCUGCCGCUUCUCCGGGAGCUCUUCGUAGUUACUUGGUCUUUCUGCUGCUUGAAUAUGAAAAGUCUAAAGAAACCAGUGCUGGGAGCUCCUUUUGGGGGAUCCAAGUUUACCAGAGGCCAAGUCUACACAAGUGCAAAGCAGCCUAACUGAGGUGGGUUAUCAAAACAACUCUUAACUGUAUUCGCAAAAUAGUCGAGGGGACACCCAUUAAAAUGUUCUUCACACAA